CAGAGACAAAGCGGAGUCAUGAAGGUGGCAGAGCAAUCCCAAGACGCUCCCGGGUAACCAAGGAAGGGAAACCCGGGGGCAGACACCACGCUCGAACGUUUCUGGAAAAGUGACGCAAACGUAGGUGGAGGGCUGCAGAAACGCAGAGUGGAGUCGAACCCGAAAUAGUCACUCUGCUUUACAGGCUGUGUGAGCCUGGAGGACCUCGAGACAGCCAGUGCCCGAGGUUGGGGUGAUCAUGACCCCUCCUAGACUGAUGACUGAUCCCCAACCAGCAGCGUGGUCCUGGCCAGAGACACAGGCUCACGCGAAGCAGCAGGUCCUCCUACAGGUUCAUCCAGAGGUCGGCGGUAGGUAGCCUGACUGUACAUCAGGACGCCGCCAUCAUUCACCUCAGUGACCCCAUGACCUGGCAUUGUCAUCGCUCAGCAUCACAAGAAGAGGAGGUGCAGCAUGAUGAGAUAUUUUGAGAGAAGGACCAUACCAGCACAGCUUUUAUCAUGGUAUAUUGUCACAACGGUUCUGUUUUAUUAUUGAUGUCAUUAAUCUCUCACUGUGCCUAAUUAAUAAAUUAGCAUACACA